GACGAACGCUGGCGGCGUGCUUAACACAUGCAAGUCGAACGGUGAAGGGGUCUGCUUUUGUGGGCCCUGGAUGAGUGGCGAACGGGUGAGUAACACGUGAGUAACCUGCCCCCUUCUUCUGGAUAACCGCAUGAAAGUGUGGCUAAUACGGGAUAUUCUGGGUCUGUCGCAUGAUGGGUCUGGGAAAGAUUGCGCCUUUGGGUGUUUUUGGUGGGGGAUGGGCUCGCGGCCUAUCAGCUUGUUGGUGGGGUGAUGGCCUACCAAGGCGGUGACGGGUAGCCGGCCGGAGAGGGUGGACGGUCACACUGGGACUGAGACACGGCCCAGACUCCUACGGGAGGCAGCAGUGGGGAAUAUUGCACAAUGGGCGCAAGCCUGAUGCAGCGACGCCGCGUGAGGGAUGGAGGCCUUCGGGUUGUAAACCUCUUUCGCCAGUGAAGCAGGCCUGCUCCUUGUGGGUGGGUUGACGGUAGCUGGAGAAGAAGCGCCGGCUAACUACGUG
rnacentral:rRNA from 1 species